GACGAACGCUGGCGGCGUGCCUAAUACAUGCCAGUAGAACGCUGAAGGAGGAGCUUGCUUCUCUGGAUGAGUUGCGAACGGGUGAGUAACGCGUAGGUAACCUGCCUGGUAGCGGGGGAUAACUAUUGGAAACGAUAGCUAAUACCGCAUAAUAGUAGAUGUUGCAUGACAUUUGCUUAAAAGGUGCAAUUGCAUCACUACCAGAUGGACCUGCGUUGUAUUAGCUAGUUGGUGGGGUAACGGCUCACCAAGGCGACGAUACAUAGCCGACCUGAGAGGGUGAUCGGCCACACUGGGACUGAGACACGGCCCAGACUCCUACGGGAGGCAGCAGUAGGGAAUCUUCGGCAAUGGACGGAAGUCUGACCGAGCAACGCCGCGGGAGUGAAGAAGGUUUUCGGAUCGUAAAGCUCUGUUGUAAGAGAAGAACGAGUGUGAGAGUGGAAAGUUCACACUGUGACGGUAUCUUACCAGAAAGGGACGGCUAACUACGUG
rnacentral:rRNA from 1 species